rnacentral:lncRNA from 1 species
GGGAGUAGAAGAAACUUAUUAAGUGUCUUUUUCUUUUUCUGAAAAAAUUCCUGACCCCAGCCAAGAUGAACACUGGGAAUUUCCUUCUUAACUGUUUGCCAAAUUGGAGGGUUGGGUAAUUACAAUUCCAGGACUUCACGUAGGUGGUUUCUUCAAAGGCCUUCAUUUAUUUGCUGCUUAGUGUAGAAGAAACUUCAUUUAUGCAGUUUCUUUUGCUCCCAGGGAGCCUAAGAGCUUGGUACAGCUAAUGGACUGCUUAUCACUGACUUUAAUAUAGUUCCAGGCAACUUAAUGCUAAAGCAACUUGAUGAUUUGAUAUGAAAAGCAUCUAUUUUUACUGAGAAUGGAAGAUUAACUACUCAGGUGUCCAUUCAGAAAACAAUUGGUCUCUGCCUAUGCCACCCGACUGAAAGGACACGAGUGACCUCCAAAUGGCUUCUCCUUACUCCCAAGCCUCCUACCACCUGGAUGGUGAAUGUGUGUCCCCAGCACUGGCC